AAGGUGCUGCAUGGUUGUCGUCAGCUCGUGCCGUGAGGUGUCGGCUUAAGUGCCAUAACGAGCGCAACCCUUGUUGUCAGUUACUAACAGGUUCCGCUGAGGACUCUGACAAGACUGCCAUCGUAAGAUGUGAGGAAGGUGGGGAUGACGUCAAAUCAGCACGGCCCUUACGUCCGGGGCUACACACGUGUUACAAUGGGGGGUACAGAGGGCCGCUACCACGCGAGUGGAUGCCAAUCCCCAAAACCUCUCUCAGUUCGGACUGGAGUCUGCAACCCGACUCCACGAAGCUGGAUUCGCUAGUAAUCGCGCAUCAGCCACGGCGCGGUGAAUACGUUCCCGGGCCUUGUACACACCGCCCGUCAAGCCAUGGGAGCCGGGGGUACCUGAAGUGCGUAACCGCGAGGAGCGCCCUAGGGUAAAACUGGUGACUGGGGCUAAGUCGUAACAAGGUAGCCGUACCGGAAGGUGCGGUUGGAUCACCUC
rnacentral:rRNA from 1 species